ensembl:lncRNA
CGGGAAAAGAGACUUUUACAGCCUCUCACACACCCGAGCUGCAGCCGGCUGGCACUUUAAAUCAUUUCAGACAGUUUAUUACGUCACAGUUUCCAGCUGUAUGCGUGGGUCCCAACAACCCGGAUAUACACACCGCGGCUCGUCUUUAAGAGACGUCAACAGGUCCGCGAAUUCUCCAGAUAUAUCAACAGAAACACAGCUUUUCUUGGGCCACGGCGGGUCCACAAAUCUUUGCUGACCACGGCGGGUCCACCAAUCUUCACUGACCACGGCGGGUCCACAAAUGCACAGUUUCCCAGCGUGCCUUGGCUUUGGUAGUGGAGGUGAAUGAGGGAGAAGGGUCAGUCCCAUUGCCCUGUCAGUACUCAGGAUUUAUACCUGAGGACAAUCCCACGGUGCUGUGGACUCGUGAUGAUCUGGAUCCAAAGUCUGUCCACAUACGACGAGAAGGAGGAGACGAUCUUAGAGGACAAAACCAGCUUUACAGCGGACGCACAUCAAUGAGGUCUGAUGCUCUGGACUCGUUAGACUUCAGCCUCACUCUGAGAAAACCAACAAAGACUGACAGCGGCAACUACACCUGCUCCAUCAGUGAUUGGAGACAAGAACGGAGACUGAGAAACAUACAGCUGGAGGUCAAAGACCAGCAGGUGGAGGUGGGGGUGGAGGAAGGCUCAGAGUCCGUCCUCCUGCCCUGCAAAACAAAACCUGACCUGCCUGAGGACACAAGAGUGGAGUGGACUCGCUCUGACCUCAUGAUGGUCCGUGUGUAUUCAAACAGAAGCGACCUCCUUAAAAAACAGGACAACCUUUACAGAGAUCGAACAAAGAUGAACAAAGACCUGCUGAGGACUGGAGACCUCAGUCUGACCCUGAAAUACCCCACAGACUGGGACACAGGAGGAUACAUCUGCACCAUCUACAGGGACGAAGACAUCCUGAGGCAGAAAGUCGUGCUGCAGGUCAAAGUUUACAAGGUGGAGGUGGAUUCAGGGGUGGAGUCUGUUCAGCUGAUCUGCAAAACCACAGUUUGUCUGCCUAAAGAUGCUAAAGUGGAGUGGAAGGACAAAAACAACAGGAAGGUCCACGUGUAUGAGAACGGCUCUGACCAGCCUGAAGAACAGGACGAUAAAUACAAGAACCGAACAAAGAUGAAGAGAAACUUACUGGAACCUGGAGACCUCAGUCUGACCCUGAAACACCCCACAGAUGAAGACAACUCCACCUACACCUGCACCGUCUACAGCAGGGAGGGAAACAUCCUGAUGGAGAAACAAGUGGAGCUGAAAGUCAGAGUCCCCCAGGUGGAGGUGGAUUCAGGGGUGGAGUCUGUCCAGCUGCCCUUCAACACCACACUUCACCUGCCUGAAGACGCUAAAGUGGAGUGGAAGGAGAACAGAUACAACAUGAAGGUCCACGUGUAUAAGAACGGCUCUGACCAGCCUGAGGAAAAGGACAUGAAAUACAAAAACCGAAUAAAGAUGAAUGAAGACCUGCUGAAAACUGGAGACCUCAGUCUGACCCUGAAAUACCCCACAGAUGAUGACAACAGGACCUACACCUGCACCGUCUACAGCAGGGAGGGAAACAUCCUGCUGAAGAAACAAGUGGAGCUGAAAGUCAGAGUCUGUCAGGUGGAGGUGGAGGAGGGGGCGGAGUCUGUCCAGCUGCCCUUCAAAACCACACAAAACCUGCCUGAAGAUGUUAGAGUGGAGUGGAAACGUCUUGAACCUGAACCAUCACUGAUGGUCCACGUGUAUAAGAACCGCUCUGACCAGCCUGAAGAACAGCACCAGGUUUACAGAGACCGAACGAAAAUGAAUAAAGACCUGCUGAAAACUGGAGACCUCAGUCUGACCCUGAAACACCCCACAGAGAGAGACAGUGGGAGAUACAGAUGUGCAGUUGACAGCAGGAACAUCUGGAUAAGAUACAAAUCAGUGCAGCUCAAAGUUAAAGGGAGAGUUCAGGUCCAGGAUCAAACAGGGGACAUCAGGAACAGAAGCAGCUCCAUUGAUCCGACUCCUCUGAUGGCUGAUCAAUUAGUUUGAUCUGUGUGUUCUUUGAUUAUUGAUCAGUGGUGUCAGAGUGGAGUCAGUGUGAUGUUGUUGUUGUGUGUUUGAGACUUUUAGUGUCCAUGAAGGUCUCUGCUGCCGUAGAUCCUCUGAACUGUGACAGAGGUCUCACUCUGGAGGAAACUCUCAGCACUUUCCAGCAGCUCCUCCAUCAUGGAGGACGUUCCCUCACUGUAACAGGUGGAGGAGAGAGGAGAGGAAGCACAGGUGGAUCCUCUGAGGAAGAGGAGUGUUCCUACAAACCACAUGAUCACAUGACCAGAGGACAAGCAUGUGUAGAAACACAUUAAAGUCAGCCUGUAAACACGUUUGUGUAAAUUCUAGUCGUGUUUUUCUGUUACAUUCAAAUAAAAGUAGAGAAAGCAG